rnacentral:rRNA from 1 species
GAUGAACGCUGGCGGCGUGCCUAAUACAUGCAAGUCGAACGAAACUUCUUUAUCACCGAGUGCUUGCACUCACCGAUAAAGAGUUGAGUGGCGAACGGGUGAGUAACACGUGGGCAACCUGCCCAAAAGAGGGGGAUAACACUUGGAAACAGGUGCUAAUACCGCAUAACCAUAGUUACCGCAUGGUAACUAUGUAAAAGGUGGCUAUACUACCGCUUUUGGAUGGGCCCGCGGCGCACUAGCUAGUUGGUAGGGUAAAGGCUUACCAAGGCAAUGAUGCGUAGCCGAAUUGAGAGGUUGAUCGGCCACAUUGGGACUGAGACACGGCCCAAACUCCUACGGGAGGCAGCAGUAGGGAAUCUUCCACAAUGGGCGAAAGCCUGAUGGAGCAACGCCGCGUGGGUGAAGAAGGUCUUCGGAUCGUAAAACCCUGUUGUUAGAGAAGAAAGUGCGUGAGAGUAACUGUUCACGUUUCGACGGUAUCUAACCAGAAAGCCACGGCUAACUACGUG